AGGUCCCGCCUGCCCUGUGACAGCAAUGUUUAACGGCCGCGGUAUCUUAACCGCGCGAAGGUAGCGUAAUCACUUGUCUUUUAAAUGGAGACCUGUAUGAAUGGCAUAACGAGGGUUUAACUGUCUCCUCCCCCUAGUCAAUGAAAUUGAUCUACCCGUGCAGAAGCGGGUAUGGUAACAUAAGACGAGAAGACCCUAUGGAGCUUUAGGCAAAUGAUCAAGUACAACAAACCCUGUUCCCAAACAGAAUAUGGGGAAACAAACGCCCAUGAUCAAUAUGCCUUCGGUUGGGGCGACCAUGGAGGAAAGAAGAGCCUCCAAGUGGAACGGGAAGACCCUUCAACUAAGAAGAACAACUCGAAGUACCAGAAAUUCUGACCAACUAUGACCCAGGACAAUCCUGAUCAACGAACCGAGUUACCCUAGGGAUAACAGCGCGAUCCUCUCCCAGAGUCCAUAUCGACGAGGGGGUUUACGACCUCGAUGUUGGAUCAGGACAUCCUAAUGGUGCAGCCGCUAUUAAGGGUUCGUUUGUUCAACGAUUAAUAGUCCU
rnacentral:rRNA from 1 species